AUAUAACAUUAUUAAUCUUUCUAUAAUUUCGAGAAUUAGUUUUCAUAAAUUGUUAUUUGUAAUAUUUUUUAAAUUAUAUGGCAAGUAAUGUUAAAUGUUUUUAGACUUACCUUAAAUUUUUUGAUCUAAUUAAAUAAAUAAAAAUUAAAAACAAUUGACCAAUCAAAUUAUAACAAUUUUUUUUAAACUUCACCUAUGAAUGACAUGUCACCAGACCUCAAUAAAAUGACUUCUUUUUUAAUAUAUAGGGAGAUCUAUACUAAUUUCCCAAACACAACUAGUAGAUCAUUUUUAAUAUAUUAUUUCUGCAGUAUUUAUAUUUAAUUAUAUUUGCAUCGUUUUUAUUUUUUUAGCCAGCACAGUUUCAAUUUUCAUAUGCUUCCAGAGAAUACUUGUAGAAGAGAAUUUCUUGAUAUAGGGUGUUGGGAAAAUUUUGAAGAAUCUCUGAUAAACACUUUUGGUUGGGCUUGAUAUAGGGUCACAUUCAGUUCAUUUCGCUGACUUAACUGAAUGGGAAAAUUUUGAAGAAUCUCUGAUAAAAAGGUAUUCAGAUACUUGUCAACAUUUCGCUGACUUAACUGAAUGAUGAUAUUAAGUAGACAAGUAUCUGAAUACCUUUUUAUCAAAUUUACAUGUGAUAUAGGAUGAUGUCGAAAGAUUUGAAACUGGCGAUGAUAGGAAUUGUCCAUUUUUUAAUAUCAUCAACAAUCGACGUACUUUAUAUUGCUGGGAUGAUAGAGUUAUUAAGAAAAUCAACAUUUAAAAAAAAAAUCAACAUUUUUAAAAAAUCAACAUUUAAAAAAAAAUCAACAUCUAAAAAACAAAAAUCAAGAGACAAUGCAAUUUCAAUUACAAGAAUAUAAAGUCUAGAAAUUACCUUUUUUGGUGCAAAGGUUAAAAUGCAUACCACUUUUCUGAAUUUUUACAUUGUUGCAAAGCAACUUAUUACAGAGUUAAAAAAAAAAAGAAAACGACACCGAACAACAAACUAAGCAAAGAACAAAAAAGAAAGCUAGCUAUAUCGAUCGAUAAACCAAAAGUACAGCUGGAGAAGAGAGUGAGCGUCAGCUGGGCGAGAAAUUACUUUCAUGGUUAAUCUUUUUUUUUUUUUAAAGAAGUUUCAUGGUUAAUCUGUACAAAGACUUGGUCAGCGACAGUCUCGCUUCUCUCUUUUCUCUACUGACUAGAGUUUAUUUUCUUCUGGCUUUGCGUAACCGGUAAUGGGCUUCUAUAGUUACCGUCUGUCGGGUUUUGUUUUUUGUUAUUUCUUUAUUUGCAUUUCCAUGAUUUAAGUUUUUAGUCUUUCAGUUAGGUUUCUAGAUCAUGAUCUCCAAAUUUCGUUUUUGAUGGUUGGGCUUAUCAUUGGAGGUUCGUCCGGCUGCUUGGCUAUCGUGGAUCUUCUCUUUCCGACAUAUUUUCCUACUCUCGAUUUUUGAAGGGGUUUCCGACAUGAGAAGACGAAGAAGAAACGAGGAAGCUACAGAGGAGGAGAGAUCGAUGUUCGGUCACAUUCAGUUAAGUUUGAGUACUCAGACGAUGAAUGAUGAUCAACUGACAAGCAACACACUUAUCUUUUUAUCUUUGUUUCCUUUGCUUCUCUUUUAAAAUUAUCAUCUUUGCUUUGCUUUGCUUAUUUCAAAAUGUAAAACUAUUCGGAUCUAAUUAACCCGAAACAGGGUUCAAGUUUUGUCUGUGUUGAUUGUCUCAUUUGAAACUUGUACGGACAUGAAUCUUUUUCAGUUUUUUGUCA